GGUGCGUUGGCCGAGUGGUCAGGCACAGGUCUGCAAAACCUGUUACAGUGGUUCGAUUCCGCUACGCACCUCAA
rnacentral:tRNA from 1 species